rnacentral:pre_miRNA from 1 species
GGGGAGCGCAGGAUCUUGGGCUGCGUCCCUCGGCUCCCGGGACCCGGGCCUGCGCCAUUGGAAUCGCGCUCCCGGGGCCGCGCAGCUCCCU